CCGGUAAACGGCGGCCGUAACUAUAACGGUCCUAAGGUAGCGAAAUUCCUUGUCGGGUAAGUUCCGACCUGCACGAAUGGCGUAAUGAUGGCCAGGCUGUCUCCACCCGAGACUCAGUGAAAUUGAACUCGCUGUGAAGAUGCAGUGUACCCGCGGCAAGACGGAAAGACCCCGUGAACCUUUACUAUAGCUUGACACUGAACAUUGAGCCUUGAUGUGUAGGAUAGGUGGGAGGCUUAGAAGUGUGGACGCCAGUCUGCAUGGAGCCGACCUUGAAAUACCACCCUUUAAUGUUUGAUGUUCUAACGUUGACCCGUAAUCCGGGUUGCGGACAGUGUCUGGUGGGUAGUUUGACUGGGGCGGUCUCCUCCUAAAGAGUAACGGAGGAGCACGAAGGUUGGCUAAUCCUGGUCGGACAUCAGGAGGUUAGUGCAAUGGCAUAAGCCAGCUUGACUGCGAGCGUGACGGCGCGAGCAGGUGCGAAAGCAGGUCAUAGUGAUCCGGUGGUUCUGAAUGGAAGGGCCAUCGCUCAACGGAUAAAAGGUACUCCGGGGAUAACAGGCUGAUACCGCCCAAGAGUUCAUAUCGACGGCGGUGUUUGGCACCUCGAUGUCGGCUCAUCACAUCCUGGGGCUGAAGUAGGUCCCAAGGGUAUGGCUGUUCGCCAUUUAAAGUGGUACGCGAGCUGGGUUUAGAACGUCGUGAGACAGUUCGGUCCCUAUCUGCCGUGGGCGCUGGAGAACUGAGGGGGGCUGCUCCUAGUACGAGAGGACCGGAGUGGACGCAUCACUGGUGUUCGGGUUGUCAUGCCAAUGGCACUGCCCGGUAGCUAAAUGCGGAAGAGAUAAGUGCUGAAAGCAUCUAAGCACGAAACUUGCCCCGAGAUGAGUUCUCCCUGACUCCUUGAGAGUCCUGAAGGAACGUUGAAGACGACGACGUUGAUAGGCCGGGUGUGUAAGCGCAGCGAUGCGUUGAGCUAACCGGUACUAAUGAACCGUGAGGCUUAAC
rnacentral:rRNA from 1 species